AUUGAACGCUGGCGGCAUGCUUUACACAUGCAAGUCGAACGGUAACAGGCCGCAAGGUGCUGACGAGUGGCGAACGGGUGAGUAAUGCAUCGGAACGUGCCCAGUCGUGGGGGAUAACUACUCGAAAGAGUAGCUAAUACCGCAUACGAUCUAUGGAUGAAAGCGGGGGACCGUAAGGCCUCGCGCGAUUGGAGCGGCCGAUGUCAGAUUAGGUAGUUGGUGGGGUAAAGGCUCACCAAGCCAACGAUCUGUAGCUGGUCUGAGAGGACGACCAGCCACACUGGGACUGAGACACGGCCCAGACUCCUACGGGAGGCAGCAGUGGGGAAUUUUGGACAAUGGGGGCAAGCCUGAUCCAGCAAUGCCGCGUGCAGGAAGAGGGACUUCGGGUUGUAAACUGCUUUUGUACGGAACGAAACGGCUCUGGUUAAUACCCGGGGCUAAUGACGGUACCGUAAGAAUAAGCACCGGCUAACUACGUG
rnacentral:rRNA from 1 species